AAGUUGGUCUGAGUUUAUAUUGUUCACUUAACUGGCACCUGUUUGUAACAACCACAUACACGCUGUGGUAAUAUUGCCACCGUAAAAACAACAGUAAUUUUAGCGCUUCCCGCUUCCAGGGGGAAAGCGCCAUUUGAAACAAUGUGACAAUCGCGAGUGAAAGGAGACCCCCAUGCAGGUCAGCAGAAGGCAGUUCUUUAAG
rnacentral:sRNA from 1 species